UACGUAGGGUGCAAGCGUUAAUCGGAAUUACUGGGCGUAAAGCGUGCGCAGGCGGUUUUGUAAGUCUGUCGUGAAAUCCCCGGGCUCAACCUGGGAAUUGCGAUGGAGACUGCAAGGCUAGAAUCUGGCAGAGGGGGUAGAAUUCCACGUGUGAGCAGUGAAAUGCGUAGAGAUGUGGAGGAACACCGAUGGCGAAGGCAGCCCCCUGGGUCAAGAUUGACGCUCAUGCACGAAAGCGUGGGGAGCAACAGG
rnacentral:rRNA from 1 species